UACGUAGGAUGCAAGCGUUGUCCGGAAUUAUUGGGCGUAAAGAGAACGUAGGUGGUUUUCUAAGUUUGGUCUUAAAGACCCGGGGCUUAACUCCGGGAAUGGAUCGAAAACUGGGAGACUAGAGGAUGUCAGAGGAAAGUGGAAUUCCGAGUGUAGCGGUGAAAUGCGUAGAUAUUCGGAGGAACACCAGUGGCGAAAGCGACUUCUGGGGCAUUCCUGACACUGAGGUUCGAAAGCUCGGGGAGCAAACAGG
rnacentral:rRNA from 1 species